rnacentral:tRNA from 1 species
AGUCUUGUAGUCAAUAUAUGAUAUAAAAUUGCAAAUUUUAAGUAAUAGGUAAUAUUAAGGCUU